rnacentral:rRNA from 1 species
GACGAACGCUGGCGGUGUGCUUAACACAUGCAAGUCGAACGGUAAGGCCCUUUCGGGGGUCCACGAGUGGCGAACGGGUGAGUAACACGUGAGUAACCUGCCCUCAUCUCUGGGAUAACAGUCGGAAACGGUUCCUAAUACUGGAUAUAAGCUUGCAAGGCAUCUUUUGGGUUGGAAAGAUUUUUUUUGGUUGGGGAUGGACUCGCGGCCUAUCAGCUUGUUGGUGAGGUAGUGGCUCACCAAGGCUUCGACGGGUAGCCGGCCUGAGAGGGCGACCGGCCACAUUGGGACUGAGAUACGGCCCAAACUCCUACGGGAGGCAGCAGUGGGGAAUAUUGCACAAUGGACGGAAGUCUGAUGCAGCAACGCCGCGUGCGGGAUGACGGCCUUCGGGUUGUAAACCGCUUUCAAUUGUGACGAAGCGUUUUUGUGACGGUAGCAGUAGAAGAAGCACCGGCUAACUACGUG